rnacentral:rRNA from 1 species
UACGAAGGGGGCUAGCGUUGCUCGGAAUCACUGGGCGUAAAGGGUGCGUAGGCGGGUCUUUAAGUCAGGGGUGAAAUCCUGGAGCUCAACUCCAGAACUGCCUUUGAUACUGAAGAUCUUGAGUCCGGGAGAGGUGAGUGGAACUGCGAGUGUAGAGGUGAAAUUCGUAGAUAUUCGCAAGAACACCAGUGGCGAAGGCGGCUCACUGGCCCGGUACUGACGCUGAGGCACGAAAGCGUGGGGAGCGAACAGG